GACGAACGCUGGCGGCGUGCUUAACACAUGCAAGUCGAACGGAAAGGCCCUGCUUUUGUGGGGUGCUCGAGUGGCGAACGGGUGAGUAACACGUGAGUAACCUGCCCUUGACUUUGGGAUAACUUCAGGAAACUGGGGCUAAUACCGGAUAGGAGCUCCUGCUGCAUGGUGGGGGUUGGAAAGUUUCGGCGGUUGGGGAUGGACUCGCGGCUUAUCAGCUUGUUGGUGGGGUAGUGGCUUACCAAGGCUUUGACGGGUAGCCGGCCUGAGAGGGUGACCGGCCAAAUUGGGACUGAGAUACGGCCCAGACGGCGACGGGAGGCAGCGGUGGGGAAUAUUGCACAAUGGGCGGAAGCCUGAUGCAGCAACGCCGCGUGCGGGAUGACGGCCUUCGGGUUGUAAACCGCUUUCGCCUGUGACGAAGCGUGAGUGACGGUAAUGGGUAAAGAAGCACCGGCUAACUACGUG
rnacentral:rRNA from 1 species